CUCCUACUUGCAAAGAUGCCUCUGGGAAUUUAUAAUGAGUCGGCAAUUGCAAUAUAUUCAAACGCGGCAGUACUCUCUGUGGAACUCCAUCCAUAUAGACCAUGGAUCCUGGGAGGUUUGGCAGAUGGAACUAUUAAAAUCUGGGAUUCUGAGAAAUUUGCAUUAAU